rnacentral:rRNA from 1 species
UACGGGGGGAGCAAGCGUUGUUCGGAAUCACUGGGCGUAAAGGGAGUCUAGGCGGUUUGGUAAGUGGGAUGUGAAAUCCCCGGGCUCACCCCGGGACCUGCAUCCCAAACUGCUGAGCUUGAGUACAGGAGAGGGUGGGGGAAUUCCAGGUGUAGCGGUGAAAUGCGCAGAUAUCAGGAGGAACACCCAUUGCGAAGGCAGCUCGCUGGGACGUUACUGACGCUGAGACGCGAAAGCGUGGGGAGCAAACAGG